CUACGUGCCAGCAGCCGCGGUAAUACGUAGGGCGCGAGCGUUGUCCGGAAUUAUUGGGCGUAAAGAGCUUGUAGGCGGUUUGUCGCGUCUGCUGUGAAAGGCCGGGGCUUAACCCCGUGUAUUGCAGUGGGUACGGGCAGACUAGAGUGCAGUAGGGGAGACUGGAACUCCUGGUGUAGCGGUGGAAUGCGCAGAUAUCAGGAGGAACACCGAUGGCGAAGGCAGGUCUCUGGGCUGUAACUGACGCUGAGAAGCGAAAGCAUGGGGAGCGAACAGGAUUAGAUACCCUGGUAGUCCAUGCCGUAAACGUUGGGCACUAGGUGUGGGGGACAUUCCACGUUUUCCGCGCCGUAGCUAACGCAUUAAGUGCCCCGCCUGGGGAGUACGGCCGCAAGGCUAAAACUCAAAGAAAUUGACGGGGGCCCGCACAAGCGGCGGAGCAUGCGGAUUAAUUCGAUGCAACGCGAAGAACCUUACCAAGGCUUGACAU
rnacentral:rRNA from 1 species